GCCAGGUGUGGUGGUGCACUCCUGUAAUCCCAGUGACUCUGGAGGUUAAGGCAGGAGGAUUGCAAGUUCAAGGCUUGCCUCAGCAACUUAGCAGGACCCUGUCAU
rnacentral:sRNA from 1 species